UUCAACUUGAGAGUUUGAUCCUGGCUCAGAACGAACGCUGGCGGCACGCCUAACACAUGCAAGUCGAGCGAG
rnacentral:rRNA from 1 species